rnacentral:misc_RNA from 1 species
GCAGAAGGAUCAUUAGUGAAGAUUUGGGCAGGCCAUACGGACGCCAAAAAGUGUCCCUGGCCGCCUACACCCACUAUACAUCCACAAACCCGUGUGCACUGUUUUGGAGAAAGGCUUCAGAGAAGUUUUUUGUGGCCUCUCUGGGGGUCUUUCUUCGCUACAAACUCGAAUGGUUAUUAUGAACGUGGAACUUGGUUGGACCGUCACUUGACAACAAACUAUACACAACUUUCGACAACGGAUCUCUUGGUUCUCCCA